rnacentral:rRNA from 1 species
CCGGGAUAGGUAGUAGUUAAGGUGAUGGCUUAACUAGCUUAAAAUUCUCGUAGUCGAAGCUGAAAGGUUGAUCGACCACAUUGGGUCUGAAAAAACCCCAAUGCAAGUUAGUACAGCAGUGAGGAAUCUUGGUCAAUGGCCUAACGGCUGAACUGGCAACUUGGAGAAGUGGCAAGUCUUAUUUUUGAUUAUAAUUUUAGAUAAUCUAUAAGAUUGUAUUAAAAUUGAAUAAAGCUUUGUUUAUAUAUUGAUAAUGACAAUAUAUAUAUCGUGUCUUGACUAAUUACGUGCCAGCAGUCGCGGUAAUACGUAAGAGACUAGUGUUAUUCAUCUUAAUUAGGUUUAAAGGGUACCUAGACGGUCAAUAUAGCUUCUAGAAUGUUAGUACUUGACUAGAGUUUGAUGUAAGGGGGCAGUACUUGAGGAGGAGAGAUGAAAUUCUAUUAUACCAAAGGGACUCGGUAAAGGCGAAGGCAGCCCUUUAUGUAAAAACUGACGUUGAAGGACGAAGGCACAGAGCACAAACAGGAUUAGAUACCCAAGUAGUCUUUGCAGUAAAUGAUGAAUGCCAUAGGUUUAGAUU